rnacentral:pre_miRNA from 1 species
GUGUGAGCAGGCAUCUUCUCAGCCUACAUGUGGAUUCCUAAAUCUGCAGGCUGGUGAGAUGGUUGUCAUGCAU